rnacentral:rRNA from 1 species
UACGAAGGGGGCUAGCGUUGUUCGGAAUUACUGGGCGUAAAGCGCGCGCAGGCGGUUUUUCAAGUCAGUGGUGAAAGCCCGGAGCUCAACUCCGGAACUGCCAUUGAAACUGUAAAACUUGAGGAUGAGAGAGGUGAGUGGAAUUCCCAGUGUAGAGGUGAAAUUCGUAGAUAUUGGGAAGAACACCGGUGGCGAAGGCGGCUCACUGGCUCAUUUCUGACGCUCAGGCGCGACAGCGUGGGGAGCAAACAGG